UACGUAGGGUGCGAGCGUUAAUCGGAAUUACUGGGCGUAAAGCGUGCGCAGGCGGUGAUGUAAGACCGAUGUGAAAUCCCCGGGCUUAACCUGGGAACUGCAUUGGUGACUGCAUCGCUCGAGUAUGGCAGAGGGGGGUAGAAUUCCACGUGUAGCAGUGAAAUGCGUAGAGAUGUGGAGGAAUACCGAUGGCGAAGGCAGCCCCCUGGGUCAAUACUGACGCCUCAUGCACGGAAAGCGUGGGGAGCAAACAGG
rnacentral:rRNA from 1 species